UUUGAAGAAGCUGCAAAAUUGAAAGCAUCUAUUGCAGAAGCUACAUCGAAGGACUCAGUUGCUGAAAUUAUGUCCAUGUUGAAGAAUGCAAUAGAUGAAGAGCGUUAUCAUGAUGCUUCAAGAUUGUGCCGAAGUACGGGAAGUGGCUUGGUUGGUUGGUGGGUUGGGUAUUCAAAAGAUUCAGAUGAUCCAUUUGGUAGACUAAUACGUAUUACUCCAGGUGUGGGCAGAUUUAUUGGCAGAAGUUUUACUCCAAAACAGUUGGUCAAAGCCUCUCCUGGAACUCCACUUUUUGAGAUUUUUGUUGUCAAAGAUGGAAAUAACACUUACAACAUGCAGGUGGUGUUGUUGCAGCGAGCCAAAGGAAGUGCAGCAAGUUCAAGCCCAUCAUCCAAGUUGAAGCCAAUGAAGGGACCUUCAUCUGCUGAAAUUGAGAACAGAGCUGUAAUUGAUGUUAAAGUAGAUGAAGCAGAAGCAGAAGCAGAAAAAAGCAAUGAGAAGAGCAUAGAUUUUGAGGGAGCUGCUGA
rnacentral:misc_RNA from 1 species